rnacentral:misc_RNA from 1 species
GUGAAUCAUCAAAUUUUUGAACGCAAAUUGCACUCUCUUCGGAGAGUAUGCCUGUUUGAGGGUCAGCCUAAAAAAAAAAUCGACAUAGUGGCGGUUCCGCGUUGCAAUUCGCCGGAAAUUGGGUCAUUUUAAACUUUUGGGUUUUAAGCGGUUUAAAUUUUUCUUUACGAUUCCCCGAACGUUUCUAAGUUUUACUUUUUAUACGUUUAAGGUAUCGAUC